GCAUAACGUCGCAAGACCAAAGAGGGGGACCUUCGGGCCUCUUGCCAUCAGAUGUGCCCAGAUGGGAUUAGCUAGUAGGUGGGGUAACGGCUCACCUAGGCGACGAUCCCUAGCUGGCUGAGAGGAUUAACCAGCCACACUGGAACUGAGACACGGUCCAGACUCCUACGGGAGGCAGCAGUGGGGAAUAUUGCACAAUGGGCGCAGGCCUGAUGCAGCCAUGCCGCGUGUAUGAAGAAGGCCUUCGGGUUGUAAAGUACUUUCAGCGGGGAGGAAGGGAGUAAAGUCAAUACCUUUGCUCAUUGACGUUACCCGCAGAAGAAGCACCGGCUAACUCCGUG
rnacentral:rRNA from 1 species